GGGCAAGUGGCGGAAUUGGUAUACGCGCUGGUCUUAGAAACCAGUGCCGAAAGGCUUAAGAGUUCGAGUCUCUUCUUGCCCACCA
rnacentral:tRNA from 1 species